rnacentral:rRNA from 1 species
GACGAACGCUGGCGGCGUGCUUAACACAUGCAAGUCGAACGGAAAGGCCCUGCUUUUGUGGGGUGCUCGAGUGGCGAACGGGUGAGUAACACGUGAGUAACCUGCCCUUGACUUUGGGAUAACUUCAGGAAACUGGGGCUAAUACCGGAUAGGAGCUCCUGCUGCAUGGUGGGGGUUGGAAAGUUUCGGCGGUUGGGGAUGGACUCGCGGCUUAUCAGCUUGGUGGUGGGGUAGUGGCUUACCAAGGCUUUGACGGGUAGCCGGCCUGAGAGGGUGACCGGCCACAUUGGGACUGAGAUACGGCCCAGACUCCUACGGGAGGCAGCAGUGGGGAAUAUUGCACAAUGUGCGGAAGCCUGAUGCAGCACGCCGCGUGCGGGAUGACGGCCUUCGGGUUGUAAACCGCUUUCGCCUGUGACGAAGCGUGAGUGACGGUAAUGGGUAAAGAAGCACCGGCUAACUACGUG